CCUACGGGUGGCUGCAGUCGAGAAUCAUUCACAAUGGGGGAAACCCUGAUGGUGCGACGCCGCGUGGGGGAAUGAAGGUCUUCGGAUUGUAAACCCCUGUCAUGUGGGAGCAAAUUAAAAAGAUAGUACCACAAGAGGAAGAGACGGCUAACUCUGUGCCAGCAGCCGCGGUAAUACAGAGGUCUCAAGCGUUGUUCGGAAUCACUGGGCGUAAAGCGUGCGUAGGCUGUUUCGUAAGUCGUGUGUGAAAGGCGCGGGCUCAACCCGCGGACGGCACAUGAUACUGCGAGACUAGAGUAAGGGAGGGGGAACCGGAAUUCUCGGUGUAGCAGUGAAAUGCGUAGAGAUCGAGAGGAACACUCGUGGCGAAGGCGGGUUCCUGGACAUUAACUGACGCUGAGGCACGAAGGCCAGGGGAGCGAAAGGGAUUAGAUACCCUAGUAGUC
rnacentral:rRNA from 1 species